UUGUUCCUACGGGGGGCAGCAGUGAGGAAUAUUGGUCAAUGGGCGGGAGCCUGAACCAGCCAAGUCGCGUGAGCGAAGAAGGUCUUCGGAUCGUAAAGCUCUGUCCUUGAGGAAGAAGGAAGUGACGGUACUCAAGGAGGAAGCCCCGGCUAACUACGUGCCAGCAGCCGCGGUAAUACGUAGGGGGCAAGCGUUAUCCGGAAUUAUUGGGCGUAAAGAGUACGUAGGUGGUUUUGUAAGCGCGGGGUGAAAGGCAGUGGCUUAACCAUUGUAAGCCUUGCGAACUGCAAGACUUGAGUGCAGGA
rnacentral:rRNA from 1 species